rnacentral:misc_RNA from 1 species
GAUGAAGAACGUAGUGAAAUGCGAUAAGUAAUGUGAAUUGCAGAAUUCAGUGAAUCAUCGAAUCUUUGAACGCACCUUGCGCUCCUUGGUAUUCCGAGGAGCAUGCCUGUUUGAGUGUCAUGAAAUUCUCAACCUUUCUGGCUUUUGCUAGUCAGGCUUGGAUUAUGGGAGCUGCUGGCUUUUGAAGUCGGCUCUUCUAAAAUGUAUUAGCAAGAUCAUUGCUGCUCAUCAUUGGUAUGAUAAUUAUCUAUAUCAUUGAGAGUCAGUUUCCUUUAUUGGAAGAUUUUGCUCCUAACGGUCUUUAGCAAGACAACAUUUGACGAUUUUGACCUCAAAUCAGGUAGGACUACCCGCUGAACUUAAGCAUAUCAAUAAGCGGAAGA